rnacentral:rRNA from 1 species
UACGUAGGGUGCGAGCGUUGUCCGGAAUUAUUGGGCGUAAAGAGCUUGUAGGCGGUUUGUCGCGUCUGCUGUGAAAUCUCAAGGCUCAACCUUGAGCUUGCAGUGGGUACGGGCAGACUAGAGUGUGGUAGGGGAGACUGGAAUUCCUGGUGUAGCGGUGAAAUGCGCAGAUAUCAGGGAGGAACAACCAAUAGGCGAAGGCAGCUGCUCU